rnacentral:lncRNA from 1 species
CUGUGGUUGGACUAGGAGAUGUUUAGAUCAAGAUGGUUCUGUUAGGAUUUGGUUAGAUUUGUAGAUUAAUUCUAGUUGGAUAAGAAUUAAUAUUUAAAUCUGUUGGAGAUAAAUUAAGAUUUAAAUAUGAAUUAGAGUAUGAAUCUAACUAGAUUAAGAUAAAUAUUUAAAUCUAUUGGAGAUAAAUGAUAUAUAGAUUUAAAUAUUUAUUAGAGUAGGAAUCUUGAUUGGACUAGGAUUCGCAUAUGUUUUAGAGGAUGCAUUAUAAAAGCACCCUUUGAGAUGCUUUUGAAGGAGAGAGUACGGUGAGAGAGAAUGCCUUAUUAGGUAAAACCGUACCAGGAGAGAGAAAGUAAUGGUUGCAUGCAUCUAGUGCACGGGUGCAUGUGAGAGAGAAAAAAAGAGAGUUGUCUUCUUUGUGGGUUUAUAGAAGACGAGAGAAGGGUAGGAGAGAUUCAAGAAAGAGGGCUCAGAUUGUAGCUACUCAAUACAGAAGAGGAGUCAGGUGUAAUCUUCUCUUAUUUAAUGAAUCUUAUUUUAUCUGCAUAUUUUCUGUUUUGGUUUUUCUCUCUUUUGUGAUUGUAUUAGCUUUUGUUGAGGAUACGGGUUUAUGGUAAAAACCCAAUUCGAUGCUUCUGUUGCGGAAUCCCAACAAUCGGUACCGGAUCAACAACAGUCGGUAUCGGAGCGGGUUGCGGAUUCACAAAAUCCGCCACCGGGGCAAGUACCGGAUUCCCAACAAUUGGUAUUAGGGCUGAAGGUUACCGAUCUGCGAGAGAGAUCGAUGGAGCUAGAUGGCCACGAAAUUCGAAAACGAGAAGUUCGACGGCAAGAACAAUUUCGGAUUAUGGCAAAUUAAAGUACGAGUGAUCCUUGUACAGCAAGAGUUGGACGAGACAUUGAACGGGAAGGCGGCGAAGCCGGCGGAGGUCACGGAUACGGCAUGGACGAAGAUGGAGCAGAAGGCGCUGAGUACGCUUCAUCUAUCAUUAGCAGAUGAGGUUCUUUACAACGUAGCCAGCGAGACGACACCGGCGAAGUUGUGAAAGAAAUUAGAAGAUCUGUACAUGACCAAAUCCUUGACGAAUAGGUUGUAUCUGAAACGACGACUGUUUACACUGCGGAUGCAGGAAGCGGCAAGCCUAAGAGCAUCUUAAUGAGUUCAACAAGGGGGUGGCCCAAUUGACUAACAUCGGAGUCAAUCUGGAUGAUGAAGAUAAGGCGCUGAUUUUACUAUCUUCGCUAGUGGCGACAUAUGAGCAUCUGGUGACGACAUUGCUUUAUGGCAAGGAGACCAUAAGCGUGGAGGCGGUCACGGUGGCGCUUCUCUUGAACGAGAUGGGGAAUAUGACUCAGGAAUCUGGCACACAGAGCCGGGAUACUGCUUUGAUAGUGAGAGCGAAGAAGGAGGUGACAACAUUGGCGACCGGAGAUCGACAGAAGAAGCCACUAUUCGAGGUGGAGUGCUUUUACUGUCAUAGGAAAGUGUUAGAUGUAUGCCCUAGAAGCCAACCGGCCCGACACAUAUAUUCUUUCUAGGACAUAAAUUUGUAUUUGACUUUUAAAUAUUAUGAAUAACUUUCGAUUUUUAUUUCCAUUCAUGUUGUGUAUGUGUCCAUGAAUCGUCCAAGGAAUUAAUAAGAUGAUGACAUAUUGUGAGAUCCCUGGUGUUUGACUGUGGAGGCUUGUCGACAGCUCUGGAGAGUGUCGGGACAAGCCCGAGUCGCGUUGGCGUCAAAUAGACGUAAAACGGACUCCGUGCGACGCGAUGGCAGCUUAUCGCGAAGAAUUUUGCAAAACAGCAGCAUUCUCUGCUUGCUGUACCGGUACAAGCUUAGUGGCUGUACCGGUACAACCAGCGCGAAAUAGCUUAACUGCUCUCGGGUUGGCUCUUGUACCGGUACAAGAGCCCGUGUACCGGUACAAGAGGGUAGGUGGCAGGGUAAUUAGGUAAUUUCUCCACCUCGUUUGUUUCACCCAUCCCACCUACUGCUUUAUACAUGAGUAGAGAGCUGAGAGAGGAGAGUUUUCUUGUUCUUCUUCCUCUCCCUCUCUAGCAUUGGCCGAGCAAGGAGGAGAGAUUGUGGGAGUGCGGAUUCGUCGCCAACGUAGUGCCGCGGAGUUGUUCGAGCGCACGUUUGUCGCCGUGGUGCUGUGAGGAGCUUGGGCGGGCUUGGAUUUGCAUCGUCUUCGACGUGGUGACGACUCUUGAAGGUUGUUCAAGGUGAGUGUGUUGCUGGAAUCGCCUCUAUUACUUCAGCAACAUUAUUUUGAGCUUGAAUGCUGUUUUGCUGUUUUUCGCCGUCGACCGUUGGUAUUUCAGCUCGUUCUCGACGUAGGAGCACCGGAUUGCGACGAGACUUGGCUCGUUGGAUUCANCUCCGCGUAGGAACGUCGGAUCGCGACAAGGCUUGGUUCGUUGGAUUCGGGACUUCAAGAGGAAUCCACGAAGCCCUCAUUUGCCAGAUUUGGUGAAGGUUAGCUCAGUCGAAUCCCAUUUCUACUCAGCUGCUGUGGAUUUUGGACUGAAUUGAGAAAUUUUGGUGUUUUAAUUUGGAGUUAGCUCGAUUUCGAGACUCGGGCGUUUUUGGUCGAUCCAGCAGGUGGUGUCGCAGUUGAGGGGGUUCUGUGCUGCCAGGGAUUAGCGUGUGAGGUGGGUUACAUCGGCUUUACUCCUAAGUUCUUAUUGGUCGACAUGUAUAGAUCUUGAUUUCGGUAAAUUAUGUUAGCUCAAAUUCAUGGACUAUAUGUAGAUUGUGAAAUCUGAAUUUUGGAGCAUGUUUUAUAAAUUAAGUAGAUUAUACAUGUUGGACUUGAAAAUUGAAUUAGGAGAAAACCUGCGAUUUGGACCUGUCACCAGUUUUAACUACCUGAUUUAGCUCUAGGAGCCGUUAGAAAAUUGUACUGUCACAGUUUCUUCGAGACGAGUACUCCAGGUAGUUUAGAAUAUAUUUACACUCGUGCUGGUUCGCCGAGUGAAUUUUUACAGGGUCGUUCAGGUCGUUUCGGACUGUUGGGUGCCGUCAGAGUUGACGGUGGAUCCGUAUCGCCUUUUCGGCGUCAGAUUGUGCCGAGGGCACGUUACCUGUUGGUUGUUAGACCAGUUUGAGCCGAUUACUUGACUUUGGCUAGUUGGAGCCUGAUUGAGCUCGACAGAGAUACGCUGCAUACUCGGUUGGGUAGCGCCCACGAGUGCCACUCCGGAGUCAGGCUUGUGCUUUUGCGUUGGUGUCGCUCAUGCCAGUUGGACUUGCUCUCCACGGACCAGUUAGAGUGGAUAGAGCCCGAUAGUCACAACGGGGCAGGGACGGGUGUAUUCACAGUCCCGGGGAUGGGUAUGCUUACAGUCCCAUUUUGGAUUGGGUCAGACUUGACAUUUCCUACAGUUUGUUAGUGUAGAGCAUGAUAGUGUAGUGGAUGAUAGCGGUAGAGUGUACUUCCUGCUUUUCCUACUAUCCUUGCUCCCUUCUGUAGACUUAGUGGGUGACCGAUGUUGUUUUGGGCCGUACCCACUGAGGACUACUUGUUUUUACAGUAGUUCUCACGCCCAGUUGUUACUUAUGUUUUGCAGAGCCACAGGUGCCGGCUGCUGCAUCUUCCGCCGACCAGGAUCGAGGCAAGGGCGUUGUGAGCUAGAGCCCUACCCGACAGUCAGAGCUAGAGGCUUUUCCCUACUGCAGGGAGUUGUUGUUUUGGAGUUUAUGUAUAUAGUUGUUUAACUCGCCAGUGCGAGUAGCCUUGUAUUUUGGAUUCUAGCUAUGUAUAUGAAACUCAGUUAUUUAGUUUUUGAGCGGCUCUAUGCUAUUGUUUGUAGUAUCGUUUUUCUACAGGUUCUUUGACGUGCCUGGGGAACGUGAUAUCCGGGUCGUGACACAUAUAUUCUCAAGUGUUAAGAAUUUGAGACAUGUGUCAUUGGUGGUUAAUUUCUAAAUGCUUCCGAUCAAUGGAUCAUCACGGGGACGGUGAUUGAUCCAGUGAGAUUGGUGCAUAGGUCGCUUCCCUUUUGGGUAGACGAGUCUCGAGUCGACAGUGUGGGGAUACUGAAGCGAAUAUGUAGCUGGUUGUUAGAGAACAAGGGUACUGAGCGUGACUAAUGAGAGAAGUCACUUGCAUGUCUACUCACUCGUCAGUGACUUACUCAAUUGUUGCAGUAGUGUGACUGGUCCUUUGACCUGUGGUGCCUCGGCUAUUCACAAUGAGGUUACUGUAGUUUGACUAUACAUACACUUGGUCCCUAGCCAUUCGGGUCCUUGCGGUGCAUGUUGGCUGCAGUAGGUUCAUUGUAGGAAUAGGGUGCGCACUUAGAUGGAACUAUCUCCCUUGGUAGAUAGGGGUGUUAGUCCUAUGUGAUUUAUGAGACCGAGUUUAGAAGACCUUGGCCAGGGCAGAAUAAAUAGCGGAAAAGGGUUUCCGAUAUUAGAAAUUCGAGUCGAAUAAAUUUAACAUAUGACAGACGAUGGGGUUUGACGAGUUAUUCCAUAACCUCCGUCUAGUCGGGACUCAUGAUAGAAGAAUUGUAUCACACGGUAACUGCACCAAGAGGUUCAUUAUUCCAUUCUACUGGAAUGCCACUACAUGCUGCUAGGCGUCACUGGUGGAUUGUGAGACUCAUAAGAAUUAUCUAGAUGAUCGAUAAUUCUCAUUGGGCUGAGUUGGAAUUGUUCUAAUCCAUUGAAAGGAGUUUCAGUGAUAUUAUUAAUAGUGAUCAAAAUAUAUCUCACUACCAGAUAGAAUAAAACUUAUGGGGUCACACACAUAAGAGGUUGUGAUUGAUCGGAUAGCUAGAUCGCGAUUAUUGAAUUGCCGGAAGACCUAAUUGUCAAUAUAAUGAUAAUUGGACUAAUUUGUAAUUGUUACAAAUUAGUGGUAUUAAGGUGUAAAUGUUACAAGAGAAGACUUACUAAUAGUUAGUAAAUUAUAAGAGGACUUAUGUGCAAAUAUUGCAUUAUUAAUUUGAUAUGAUCAAAUUAAUAUAAAGAUCGAAUCAAAUUAGGAUUUGAUCGAUCUAACCAAUUAAGGAAAGGAUAAAUUUAAUCUAGAUUUAUACUUAUCCUUAAUUGUCAUUAUAUUAUUAGGAAUAGGAUUAUAUUCCUAUAUAUGACAUACGGGAGUUUUUAGAAAACCCUAGCCGUUAUCUCUCUUCUUCUUCUCUCUUCCAUCUUCUAGCAAGAAAGACAUCCUUUUGCAAGAGAACUAGCACCCCGGUGAGGAUAUCGAUCAAAUCAAGAACCUCGUGUGGAUACCUAUAGAGGCCGGACGCUUGUGCGGCUUCAAGAGAACCGAAUUCCAUGAUCAUCAAAUUGAGAUGAAGAUUUAUCCGCGAAUAAGGUAAAGAUUCGAUCUUACUUUUUUCCUUUAAUCUUAAAGAACAUGAGUGAUCCAAAUUGCGUGGUUUUUGAGAUUUGAUCUCGAGAGUUUUCAAAAAUCAAAUUUGUUUGAUUUCUUUUUCCGUUGCGUUUUUACCGUACGCAAUUUUCUAACAGAAAGGGCAUAUCAAGCGCAAUUGUCGAAAGCUUCAAGAUGAUUUGAAAGAGUUAAAGCGACAGAAGGAGAAAACUGUCGUGAACCAGGAUGAGACGGCAUCAGCGACGGUGCAGGCGACAGAGUUGGAGACGAUCAAUUUUGAUGUGCUGUAUGCAGCGACCGAAAGUGCGAAAAUUUCGGAUAAUGCGUGGGUGCUCGAUUCGGCGUGUUACUUUCACGUAUGCCCGGAGAAGGAGUCUUUUGCCACCUAUAAGGCAAUUAAGGUUGGAAAGGCUUUGAUGGGGAACGAGACGGCGUGCAAAGUUUUGAGAGUCGGCACGGUGAAGAUCCGAAUGCACGAUGGGGUCGUAAGGACGCUGACAGGUGAGCGGCACAUUCCUGGAUUGAAGUAGAAUUUGAUUUCGUUAGGCGUAUUGGACUCGAAGGGUUGCGAUAUUUCAGCUUCAGGUAGAGCUAUGAGGGUCCGAAAAUGAGCUCGGGUUGUGUGCGAGGCGAACAAGCGCGGGAAUUUAUAUGUUCUGAACGGGAGAACAGUUAGAACGGAAGCGAGACGGUUUGAGUUCCAAAAGUUCGUGAAGGAGCAGUCACUCGAGGCACAGGAUGCGGCGACAUCGGGCGGAGGAGACAAGCUCAAGGUGGAACUUGCAUGAUGAGCUCGACACAGCAAUUCAAGAUUACAAAUCCAACCAAGGUGGAGAAUGUUAGGAUUUGGUUAGAUUUGUAGAUUAAUUCUAGUUGGAUAAGAAUUAAUAUUUAAAUCUGUUGGAGAUAAAUUAAGAUUUAAAUAUUAAUUAGAGUAUGAAUCUAACUAGGUUAAGAUAAAUAUUUAAAUCUAUUGGAGAUAAAUGAUAUAUAGAUUUAAAUAUUUAUUAGAGUAAGAAUCGUAAUUGGACUAGGAUUCGUGUAUGUUUUAGAGAAUGCAUUAUAAAAGCACCCUUUGGGAUGCUUUUGGAGGAGAGAGUACGAUGAGAAGGAAUGCCUUCUUAGGUGAAACCGUACCAGGAGAGAGAAAGUAAUGGUUGCAUGCACCUAGUGCACGGGUGCAUGUGAGAGAGAAAAAGAGAGAGUUGUUUUUUUUGUGGGUUUAUAGAAGACGAGAGAAGGGUAAGAGAGAUUUAAGAAAGAGGGCUCGGAUUGUAGCUACUCGAUACAAAAGAGGAGUCAGGUGUAAUCUUCUCUUAUUUAAUGAAUCUUAUUUUAUCUACAUAUUUUCUAUUUUGGUUUUUCUUUCUUUUGUGAUGUUAUCAACUUUUGCUGAGGAGACGGGUUCAUGGUAAAAAUCCGAUUCGACACUUCCGUUGCGGAAUCCCAACAAUCGGUAUUGGAUCAACAGCAGUCGGUAUCGAAGCGGUUUGCGGAUUCACAAAAUCCGGUACCAG